UACAGAGGUCCCAAGCGUUGUUCGGAUUCACUGGGCGUAAAGGGUGCGUAGGUGGUAAAGCAAGUCAGGUGUGAAAUCUCCGGGCUCAACCCGGAAGUGGCAUUCGAAACUACCUUGCUAGAGGGUUUGAGGGGGGACUGGAAUACUUGGUGUAGCAGUGAAAUGCGUAGAUAUCAAGUGGAACACCAGUGGCGAAGGCGAGUCCCUGGAAAACUCCUGACACUGAGGCACGAAAGCUAGGGGAGCAAACAGG
rnacentral:rRNA from 1 species